AUACGGAGGGUGCAAGCGUUACUCGGAAUCACUGGGCGUAAAGCGCGCGCAGGCGGCUAUUUAAGUUGGAUGUGAAAGCCUACGGCUCAACCGUAGAACUGCAUCCAAAACUAUUUAGCUAGAGUGUGGGAGAGGAAGAUGGAAUUAGUUGUGUAGGGGUAAAAUCCGUAGAGAUAACUAGGAAUACCAAAAGCGAAGGCAAUCUUCUGGAACACUACUUACGCUGAGGCGCGAAAGCGUGGGGAGCAAACAGGAUUAGAUACCCUAGUAGUCC
rnacentral:rRNA from 1 species